rnacentral:rRNA from 1 species
CCUACGGGGGGCUGCAGUGGGGAAUAUUGGACAAUGGGGGGAACCCUGAUCCAGCCAUGCCGCGUGUGUGAAGAAGGCCCUCGGGUUGUAAAGCACUUUCAGUGAGGAAGAACGCCUGGUGGUUAAUACCCAUCAGGAAAGACAUCACUCACAGAAGAAGCACCGGCUAACUCCGUGCCAGCAGCCGCGGUAAUACGGAGGGUGCGAGCGUUAAUCGGAAUUACUGGGCGUAAAGCGCGCGUAGGUGGCUUGAUAAGCCGGUUGUGAAAGCCCCGGGCUCAACCUGGGAACGGCAUCCGGAACUGUCAAGCUAGAGUGCAGGAGAGGAAGGUAGAAUUCCCGGUGUAGCGGUGAAAUGCGUAGAGAUCGGGAGGAAUACCAGUGGCGAAGGCGACCUUCUGGACUGACACUGACACUGAGGUGCGAAAGCGUGGGUAGCAAACAGGAUUAGAUACCCCAGUAGUC